UCCCAUUCCGAACAGAGCAGUUAAGCCCCUUUGCGCCGAUGGUACUUGGUUUUCCUGGGAGAGUAGGUCGCCGCCAAUU
rnacentral:rRNA from 1 species